rnacentral:lncRNA from 1 species
AUUCCAAGAAAGCUUCUUUGAAAACGCGUUUUUCCUGAAAAUGAUAAAUUUCACGAUUAACGUGAGAAGAGAAGCAAGUAUCGUAGGAAACUGAAGGAAAACGACGAAGGAAAUAUCAAGAUUUUGCAAAUGAGAAAAAGUUAAAGAAAAUUUCAAAAUCUUUUGAGAGAAGCUUGCAAGGAAAAAUUCAUUUAAAAUUCUGCUGAAAAACAUAGUGGUAUCGUGACGAAACAUGAUUCCGCAACCGCGUCAUCAUGCUCAGCCAUCGAGAAUAAUUGAA